AAUGUAAUAAUAACUGUAUACAAAAGAUUCAUUGUUAUGGAAGUGGGUAUACAAUAGAUUUUACUUUUAUUAUCGUAAAAUAAUUUAAUGACACUCUUACGAUAAUUUAAAAGCAAUAACAUCUGCCGACAAAAUUUUAAGAUCAGGUAUCUUAUACAUGGGAUUGUUACCAAUUGUCUAUGACGUCCAUCGGGUCUUUCUCCCUACUCUUAUUUUCGGGUCUGAGGACAGUAAUGAAUGCUAUUGCUCUGUGCAAUCAGUUUUACAAAAGUCUUGAAGCUAGCAAGAUCGAAAAAUAAUAUUCUGCAGAAACUUGCAAGAGACUAAAAAUAUAUUAUUCCUAUUUCUCAAAUUGUUGAAAUUAAAUUUAAUUUUCAAAAAUGAGUGAAUCAAGUGAAAACUAUGGUAGUGAAAUGGAAAUGAGAUUAGCAGAUACUUAUUGGAUUCUUAAGCCUGAAUUCUACAAAAAUAUAAUGCAGACUAAAUCCAGUGCAAUCUCACCAGAAGGUGGACAGUCAGCGAAUUCGGAAAUUGAUGCAACUAAAAAUAUAGGACAUCCACAGGAAAAAGUUAAAUUGAAAAAGAAAUUAUCUCGACUUUUGUAAAGAGAACAUCAUUUAUCAAUAUAAUAGAUGAUGUGCUACAAACAGAAAAUGGAAAUCGAAUCGCUGGAAUCUGGAAGCGCUGGCUUGUUUGAAUAAUUAUAUUAUAAUUUAAAUUGACUCAUAAGAUAAUUCUUAAAACUCCUGUUGUAUUUUCGUAAAUGGUAAUAAUAAAUAUGUACUAUCUAAAUAAAAUACAGUUAACUUCUAAAUUAG